GACGAACGCUGGCGGCGUGCUUAACACAUGCAAGUCGAACGAUGAUGCCGUGCUUGCACGGUUGAUUAGUGGCGAACGGGUGAGUAACACGUGAGUAACCUGCCCCUCACUUUGGGAUAACUCCGGGAAACCGGGGCUAAUACUGGAUAUGAGCCUUCCUCGCAUGGGGUUGGUUGGAAAGGGUUUCUGGUGGGGGAUGGGCUCGCGGCCUAUCAGCUUGUUGGUGGGGUGAUGGCCUACCAAGGCUUCGACGGGUAGCCGGCCUGAGAGGGCGACCGGCCACAUUGGGACUGAGAUACGGCCCAGACUCCUACGGGAGGCAGCAGUGGGGAAUAUUGCACAAUGGGCGAAAGCCUGAUGCAGCGACGCCGCGUGAGGGAUGGAGGCCUCCGGGUUGUAAACCUCUUUCGGCAGGGAAGAAGCGUUAAGUGACGGUACCUGCAGAAGAAGGGCCGGCUAACUACGUGCCAGCAGCCGCAGUAA
rnacentral:rRNA from 1 species